rnacentral:rRNA from 1 species
AGUGAACGCUGGCGGUAGGCCUAACACAUGCAAGUCGAACGGCAGCACCGUAAGAGCUUGCUCUUACGGGUGGCGAGUGGCGGACGGGUGAGGAAUACAUCGGAAUCUACUUUUUCGUGGGGGAUAACGUAGGGAAACUUACGCUAAUACCGCAUACGACCUACGGGUGAAAGCAGGGGAUCUUCGGACCUUGCGCGAUUGAAUGAGCCGAUGUCGGAUUAGCUAGUUGGCGGGGUAAAGGCCCACCAAGGCGACGAUCCGUAGCUGGUCUGAGGGGAUGAUCAGCCACACUGGAACUGAGACACGGUCCAGACUCCUACGGGAGGCAGCAGUGGGGAAUAUUGGACAAAGGGCGCAAGCCUGAUCCAGCCAUACCGCGUGGGUGAAGAAGGCCUUCGGGUUGUAAAGCCCUUUUGUUGGGAAAGAAAAGCAGCAGGUUAAUACCCCGCUGUUCUGACGGUACCCAAAGAAUAAGCACCGGCUAACUUCGUG